rnacentral:rRNA from 1 species
UACGGGGGGGGCAAGCGUUGUUCGGAAUUACUGGGCGUAAAGGGUCUGUAGGUGGCCAACUAAGUCAGACGUGAAAUCCCUCAGCUUAACUGGGGAACUGCGUCUGAUACUGGUUGGCUUGAGUGCAGGAGAGGAAUGCGGAAUUCCAGGUGUAGCGGUGAAAUGCGUAGAUAUCUGGAGGAACACCGGUGGCGAAGGCGGCAUCCUGGACCGACACUGACACUGAGGAGCGAAAGCCAGGGGAGCAAACGGG